GGACGUCCUGUAGCUGAAAUGAUGAUGAUGCUUUUGAAACUCAUUAAAAUGUACCAACUUUACCUAAUUUGCAACAAUUCUUGUUUGUUUCCAUCAUUUGUAAAAAAAAAAUAGAAUAAAAACAGUCUGUAAUCCGAAUAACAACGAUGUUCAAUUGUUCAAUGAUUGCACUCAAUCAAUUCGUUACAUCUCGUUACUUGAUUUUCAAUGUCAUUUUUUACUUACUCAACAAUGUUUUUGUCAAUACCUAAUAUUCUGUGACGACAAUAACUGCACUGUGGACAGUUGCAUAGAGGUUUUGUGAUACAGAAGUCGUUUCAAAGAGCAAUAAAUUUAAAUAUUUGAACACUCAAUCACAUAGUGUCAUAUCUACAUUUCUAAAGAUUUACUCAAGUCUUCAUUAUGAAAGUGAUUGACGACAAAUCAUGUUUUGGCGUUUAUGACCCUUGGAAAGAUGAUUGCGGACCUGGCUGCGAUUGUCAUGAUGUCCGCAUUGAUAGUACAACUUGCAUGAAGUGAAGAACAACUGUAGAUAAUAUACUUUGUUAGUAAAAUCAUCUUAGUUUAGUUAAUUUAUUUUUGUUGUUAUGCGGACUAUUCAGGGAAACAAUAAAAAACUUUAGUGAUGUGAUGAUUAAUUUUAUUUUACACAGUGAAUGUGUUACACCAAAAAAAAGGAACAGCAUAAAAUGCAUUGUUGAUUUACAGUAAUAAAUUACACGAUCAAUUGGAAACCAAAAGCUUGAAACAAUAGCUAUUACACUUUAGAUAACGGGCUAUGUUGUCAUUAUUAAAAAUAAACAGCAACAGUAUCAGUAGGUAAACGAUAACAACUCAAGAUGAAUGUAUUUUAUAACGUUUUAUGGACAUGAUCAUUUUAAAUUUACACGAAUAUCGCUUGACUUUGGCUCAUGUUAUGAAAUGACUUAUAUUCUACAUAAUUAUAAGUAGAUACGAUGAUAAACAAAUACUUAAAUCACAUUAACAGACACAGCCACUUCAUCUUCAGUUCAUUUAGUCUUCACAGCUUGCUCUUGAGCACAAAGAUUCUUUCAUUCAU